GACGAACGCUGGCGGCGUGCCUAAUACAUGCCAGUUGAGCGCUGAAGGUUGGUACUUGUACCGACUGGAUGAGCAGCGAACGGGUGAGUAACGCGUGGGGAAUCUGCCUUUGAGCGGGGGACAACAUUUGGAAACGAAUGCUAAUACCGCAUAAAAACUUUAAACACAAGUUUUAAGUUUGAAAGAUGCAAUUGCAUCACUCAAAGAUGAUCCCGCGUUGUAUUAGCUAGUUGGUGAGGUAAAGGCUCACCAAGGCGAUGAUACAUAGCCGACCUGAGAGGGUGAUCGGCCACAUUGGGACUGAGACACGGCCCAAACUCCUACGGGAGGCAGCAGUAGGGAAUCUUCGGCAAUGGACGAAAGUCUGACCGAGCAACGCCGCGCGAGUGAAGAAGGUUUUCGGAUCGUAAAACUCUGUUGGUAGAGAAGAACGUUGGUGAGAGUGGAAAGCUCAUCAAGUGACGGUAACUACCCAGAAAGGGACGGCUAACUACGUG
rnacentral:rRNA from 1 species